rnacentral:rRNA from 1 species
CAUUGUUGGAGAGUUUGAUCCUGGCUCAGGACGAACGCUGGCGGCGUGCUUAACACAUGCAAGUCGAACGAUGAAGCCUUCGGGUGGAUUAGUGGCGAACGGGUGAGUAACACGUGGGCAAUCUGCCCUGUACUUUGGGAUAAGCCUGGGAAACUGGGUCUAAUACCGGAUAUCACCAGCCUUCGCAUGGGGGUUGGUUGAAAGUUCUGGCGGUACAGGAUGAGCCCGCGGCCUAUCAGCUUGUUGGUGGGGUAAUGGCCUACCAAGGCGACGACGGGUAGCCG